GUCCACGCCGUAAACUAUGGAUGCUAGCAGUUACUCGUAUCGACCCGAGUAGUUGCGAAGCUAACGCGUUAAGCAUCCCGCCUGUGGAGUACGGCCGCAAGGCUAAAACAUAAAGGAAUUGACGGGGACCCGCACAAGCGGUGGAGCGUGUUGUUUAAUUCGAUGGUAAGCGAAGAACCUUACCCAGGUUUGACAUCCUGCGAAGGACUACGAAAGUAGACUGUGCCUUUUGGAACGCAGUGACAGGUGUUGCAUGGCCGUCGU
rnacentral:rRNA from 1 species